CAGCAGCCGCGGUAAUACGUAGGGUGCAAGCGUUAAUCGGAAUUACUGGGCGUAAAGCGUGCGCAGGCGGUUCGUUAAGACAGAUGUGAAAUCCCCGGGCUUAACCUGGGAACUGCAUUUGUGACUGGCGGGCUAGAGUAUGGCAGAGGGGGGUAGAAUUCCACGUGUAGCAGUGAAAUGCGUAGGGAUGUGGAGGAAUACCGAUGGCGAAGGCAGCCCCCUGGGCCAAUACUGACGCUCAUGCACGAAAGCGUGGGGAGCAAACAGGAUUAGAUACCCGUGUAGUCCCUGUCUCUUAUAC
rnacentral:rRNA from 1 species